UGAGGACCGAACCCAGGGCCUUGCGCUUCCUAGGCAAGCGCUCUACCACUGAGCUAAAUCCCCAGCUCCAGCAUUCUUUUUUCUAUGAUGGAGUUUCCAUGUUCCUUGAAAAUGUAUAUCUUACAUAUAUUAGCAUAAUGCCAAAUUUCAUCAUUUGUAAAUUAUGCGGUACAUGCAUAGGGUUCCAAGAGCUUGGGGGACUGAGAUGAACCCGGAAGCGCAGGACCAUCUGACAGUGUAGUAAGGUCUCCAUCUCAAAAACAAGUUAUAAAUAAUGUUUCAGCAAAGAACUGCUGCCGCCCUGUUUGCUCUUAUAAAGGCUUUAUGGUCAUUUACCUGCCUGCCUAACUGUUUCUGAACGGUUACAGUCUCACUGCUGUAUAGUGCUCUUGUGAAGGUCGCACUGUAAGGUAGUUACAUUGACAGUAAGAGUAGUUAGGGUUUAGAUGAUUCUGAGAAGGUUUACUGGUAAAAUGCAAACUAUUUUUUAAAAGAAUUCUUAUUCCAGUUAAGAUUUUAUUUAAGUAAUAUAUUUCUAUUUACCUUAUAUUAAAAUGACAUACUCUCUGAUAGGGUAGUAAGGUUGAGAAUUAGGCUUUAAUGUUGUUUAGUUUAGUUUUUGAGCUAGAGUCUCACUAUGUAGCCUUGGCUGGCCUGUAACUACCUAUGUGGACUGGACUGCCUUGAACUCAGAGAUCAUCUGCCUCUGUCUCCCAAGGACUAAGCUUUUAAGAGUAUAUAUAAUUAUAUUGCUUUUUAUAAGUAAUUCUGGCAUGGAGAUAUCAGUAGUUAAAAUUUAAUUGAAAACAGUUUAAAUUCUUAUCAUAUUGGAUCUAAAGAAACAUUUUGGGGAAGUUUGAAUGCUUUGUUAGAUAAUCCCUAGCUACUCACUUGGUUUCUGUACUCCUCCCAAAAUUAUGUGGUAACGUGGCACUUACUGCUGACAGCCUUCUGUAUUUUAGACAGUUCUUUUUUCUAUUCUGCCUUUUACUUUGAAAACUGUGCUCAGAGACAUCACAAAUGUUUUUAUGUAGCUGCUGCUACUUAUGGUCCAUUUCACAGAAGAAACCUUGUAAGGAAGCCAUGUAGCUUUCUGCUAAAUUCUUUUACAGGCUAAACUUCUCUUUCCCAUUGGUUUGGUUUGUAUAGUUGGAGGGGAAAAAAGCAAAAAUAAUCAGAUUUCUGGUUUUUCUAUCAAAUUCAUUACUAAACUUAAGACAAAAUUAACAAAUACUUGAUUAAUUUGACAUUUUUUCUGGGAGUCAGAAGCACUUCAGUUUUAACAGGGUGACAGUUUCUUCAAUCCAUGAAUAUACACCGACUCAGAAGGAUUAGCUGAAAAUUCAAAAUGACUUGUUUAAUAACAAAAGGUAUUUAGCAGCUAAGUAUGAUGGCAGACCUGUAAUCCCAACACUCACAGGCUACGGCAGGAGGAUUGCCUCAAGUCUGUAGGCUACCCUGGGCUAGAGAAUGAAGUCUAUUUAUAUCUGCCUGCCUACCUGCCUGUCUGUCUUUCUCUGUAUAUGUCUGUCUGUCUAUGUGUGUGCCUCUGUCUCUCACCCCUUCAACAACUUAGAAAUUGUGCUGCUAGUUGGUAUUUAAGGAGUCGUGUAUUUACCUUAAAAUGUUCCUUUUUAUUUGUUCCACUGGAAUUGAUUGCAAAAAGAAUAGUAAUAAGCCUUUUUUAUGUUGAAUUAUUGACUGUGCAAACUGUGAUUCAUUGAGUAUUUAUAUACAAAAAGGGGGGUUUCAAAGUUAAACAAGUUUUAGACUUUAUAAGGAUGUAAAUAACCUUAAUUAUAGCAUUCUGAUAACAAAAUUACUGUUUGGUGCAAUUCAUUCUUUCUGCUCUCAUCCUUCUGAACUUAAGUACACAAGAUGUAUUUUGUUUUGUCACAUAAAUAUUUUUAAGAACUUCACUGAAUGUAUAUGAGUUAAUGUUUGAUUUGUUUCUGUAUAGUAUGAUCAAAAAUAGUUGAAAAUUUUGCACUUUGUUAGUCUCUUAAAUUUAUACUGUAAUAUUUUUAAAGAGUGUACAUUUAUUUUGUCCAUAAUAAAUUAGCUUUGUACAUGACAGUGGGUGUGAGUAAAUGAGACACUGGUACUUUUGUUAUUUGGCUGUGGUUCUGUUUACCAUCUUGGACUAGAAUUUGCUGAGUCUAAAUAUUUUGAGUAGACAAAGAAUUGAAUGCAGUAUUCAGUAAACAGGAAACCAAACACUGUUUGUUUCUCAGAUGAG
ensembl:lncRNA